rnacentral:rRNA from 1 species
CCUACGGGAGGCAGCAGUGGGGAAUAUUGGACAAUGGGCGAAAGCCUGAUCCAGCAGUGUCGCGUGUGUGAAGAAGGCCUUCGGGUUGUAAAGCACUUUCAGCGGGGAAGAAAAGUUUGAGGUUAAUACCCUUAGGCCCUGACAUUACCCGCAGAAGAAGCACUGGCUAACUCUGUGCCAGCAGCCGCGGUAAU